CCUGCAAGGACACAAAAAGAAAAACUAGCAAUGGUUUAUGAUGACAGUGUCCUCAGAAGACCCAAACCUGUCAUUUAAUACAACAGAAUACAUCCUGCUCAUUUAAUUCCACAGAAUAAAUACAUCCUGCUCAUCUUAACAGAGGCUGCAAACCUGAAAUGUACUUACAUAAUAGGGAUCUUCAAUAAUGAGCUGCUUCUGUGGAUCAUAGCUCCCAAGUAGCUCGAUUUUAGCUUUGCAGUUUUUAACUUGAUUACUUUUUCUAUUCAGAUCUCUGGAAAAUCGAAACAUGAACUUAGAUUUCUGAUCUAUGGUUUUAAGUUAAACAGGGACAUCUGCUCAGGGUUUAUGAAAUAUCCUAUCAAAACAGUACAACCUCAUUUGGAAUGAAACAGAAUACUCUGCAGACCUAUGGACUUCUGCAGCUGUAUGCCACAGUGCACUGAUUCUGACACCCAAAAUGUGUAUCUUUAAUUUAUAUAAUAAAGUUUUCCUCUGUGAAAUGUAUUUUGAUACAAUAAAAAUGAUAACAUUUCAGAUACAUAAAAUGGCAGAAAAGAACUCAAAAGACCAUGUAUACCAUAUCCCAGGACAAAGAAACAGUUUGGACAACGUUCAGGGCAAGGAAGGCAGGGAAGAUGGACUCAGUGUAGGAGAGCUGAGUGAGGUCAGGACCAAGUGUGGUUGGGCAAGUUUAGUGGAAAGCAGGCCACAGUGGCAGCAGCUAUGGUUUUAUGCUCCCUAUAGCCCACCCAUCCAUCCUAUGAACCUAGGGAAGUAAUUUAAGUUCAUGGUUCCUUGAUUUCUUCUUUGAUAAUAAAACAAAUUUAUUGAUGAGGGAUGUGGACCUGCAGGCCACAUCUUAACCCUGAGCCCAUCCGUGCUGGUUAGCCAAAAACCAUAAACCCAGUGCGGUCUGUCUUGUCACUUACUCUACAGAGCAGCAACUAUACGGAAAUAGGAUACAAGCGCCUCCUCAUCUGUGACAGGAGCAAAAGAACCAGUGACCAAGGCAUCAAUCACCUCCACACCUGGAGCCCCGAACCAGCUGCUCUCCCUGUCCAUUCCUGUAGUGGCUGGACGGUCUCUCAGAAGACACACUUCUGUAAAGAUCUGAGAUAACCAUACCUUGAUCCUCCUGCCCUCCUGAACACUCUGUAGAUUGUAAUCAACCUUGUACACAAAAACUGUAAGACACUAGCAAGUCAUUCUGGACAACUUGUUGGGCCUAUAACACAACUGAGAGGAGGAAAGAAAUACUGUGUAAAGUAUGAUUACUGCAUGAACUGGACAUGGCAGUGCUUACCUUUUAACCUAACACUCAGGAAGCAGGGAUAAGUAUACCUGAGUUCAAGGUCAAAUCUACAAAGUGAGUUACAAGGCAGACAGGGCUACACAGGGAAACCCUUUAUCAAAAAAACAAAAAUAUAUGAUUACCUCAGAUUGCUUUCAUCCAUACACAGUAUAUAAUCGAAUGUGGCAAAGUCUUCUCUUGUAAUCUACAAUUAAGAAAUCAAAAAACAGUGAUUACAUCCAUACAACAUUAUAGCUGAAAAAACCAUGUAAUUACAUGUUAACUCAUUAACUAAAUUCUAUGUUCACUUAUCCACUAAAAUUAAAAAAAAAAAAAACACACAAUUUAGAGUACAUUUGAAGUUAAAACAAAAUCAUUGUAUUUCCAAAACUUUAUUACAAAAUAGUUUUGUAAAAGGUUCUUUGAAAUAAUCAGAAAUAUAAAACAUGGACGUAAAGUUUGUUGUUGUUAGUUUUGGUCCCUCUGUAAGAUGUAAUCUGAAAUGACUCCAUGCAGUCACCCCCACCACAUCCAUCAUUCCAUGCCUUAGGCCUUGGGAACCACUCCAGAUUAAUUAAGGAACAGUUCUUUGUUCUUGUGAGGCCAUCCCUGUGAAGGAGAAUAAAUACUCUCAAGGAAAGCAAGAAAGAGAGAAGACACAGAGCCUCAGAACAGGGGAACUAAUGGAUUCUCAAAAGGUAGAAGGCCCACCAGGGACAAGGAUCCACGAGUGCAAGUCUGUCUGAAGCUAACAGGGAGGAUCCCGCAGGUCCUCAUCAAUGUGCUCUAUUCUGGCACCACAUAAUUUAAGACACGUAAGCUCCCUUCAGUGCAGCUGAAGAAGUUUAUCUUCUAGAUUUUGACUACCCAGGAAACACCUGGGUUAAAAGAACAAUGACUAUAACCAAACAGUAAUAAAAAUGGUCACUUGCUUGUCACUCUAUUAAAAAUGAGGAAUUUUAGCUUUUAGUAUGCACGUCCAUAUACUAAUAGCAUAGCACUUAAAUAAUCAAAGGACUGUAUUGUUUUGAUAUCCCCAAUACCCAACACUUAUAACUUAUUUCAAAGACAUUAAACAAAUACUAUCAUAAAAUGUUAUUUUUUCAAGUUAUGAAGAAUAUCUUAGCAUUAGUUUUGGACUUAUUAUAAAUAAUUUAUCCUAAAAAAUGUACUGCUUAGUGAUUUAUAGAGUCAAGCCACACAGGAUUUUUGUAUUUUAAAACGAACUGAGAAAGAAGAGCAGCUAGAACUUACGUCAUGGAAAAUGCACAGUGAAGCACAGGACAAAUUAAUCCCAUUAUUAGAGCCUACACAGAAACCAAGACUCUUCUCCAAGACUAUGAACACGCUCCUAAGAAUACCUGGCCCACUAGAGCAGUGUGACAAACAGGAAUAUAGCCACAGAUAACACAUCACCUCCAGUUGAGUCCCUAUGUGUGGACCUUAACUGCUCAUCCCAGUGAGUACUGCUUGGAUCCUCCCAGAGUUCUCUCCCAAGUCAUUAUACCCAAGAGCUCUUUAACCCCCAAGGUAGUCAAGUCCAUUUCCAAACAGCCCAUUUAGGAGGUUUUAUCAAUGCUAAAACUAAAACAAAAUCAAUUUUUUCUUAAUUUGAAAAAAUGCAAAUCCAGGACUAGAAAAAUGGCUCGGUGGUUAAAGGUAUGUUACUAUUGCAAAGGACCCAGGUUCAGUUCCCAGCACCCACAUAAUGCCUCACACCUGUAACUCCUAUUUCAGAGACGGUGACACCCUCUUCUAGCCUCUGCAAGCCCUGCACAAAUGUGCUAUGCAUACUCUCAGGUAAGAUACUCACACACAUAAAACAAAAACAAACGAACGCUUUCAAACUUAAAAAUCCAUUAUAGCUAUGGGUUUUCUGUUAAGAUGUUUUUUGUCUAUCUCUCUCUCUCUCUCUCUCUCUCUCUCUCUCUCUCUCUCUCUCUCUCUCUGUGUCUGUGUGUGUGUGUGUGUGUGUGUUUGUGUGUUUGUGUGUACACACUCUGGUCCUAUGGAAGAGGAGGAAGUAGUCUUAAGACACCAAGAUAUUUCUCUAGCCCACAGGUGUUUUUAAUUUUCAGGUCAGGAAACGGCAUUGUCAGACAGAUAUUCUUACUUGCCUCUGCACUGGGUUAUAUUAGGAUACACUAUGUAAGGUGAAGUUAUGUGCAAUUUAGGAAUGCUUCCAAGGGACCUGUGGAUCACUCUUAAGUAUUAGUGCUUGAUACUAAACCACAACCCAGUACGCAAUGGUUAGAGGUUAGCUGUAACACACACCGAGUCCUGCACAAAGAGCCACCAGGACAGAGAUGCCAAUGGUGUCAAGGGCCUAGAAGCCUCCUCAAGAGCAAAGAAAGCCAGGCAAAGGCCAUGGUGGAAAAGCAGGCCCUACCUGCCCUGAUGCCUGGGACCAUAGAGAAGAAGCUGGGCCCAGGCAUGGCGGGACAGUGAACCUUGGAAGAGCACAGGCCGAGGAAAAGAGUUAGUGUAGGCUGUCCCACUUGACCUGAC